rnacentral:rRNA from 1 species
CGGAGGGUGCAAGCGUUAUCCGGAUUUAUUGGGUUUAAAGGGUCCGUAGGCGGAUCCGUAAGUCAGUGGUGAAAUCUCACAGCUUAACUGUGAAACUGCCAUUGAUACUGCGGGUCUUGAGUAAGGUAGAAGUGGCUGGAAUAAGUAGUGUAGCGGUGAAAUGCAUAGAUAUUACUUAGAACACCAAUUGCGAAGGCAGGUCACUAUGUCUUAACUGACGCUGAUGGACGAAAGCGUGGGGAGCGAACAGGAUUAGAUACCCUGGUAGUCCACGCCGUAAACGAUACUAACUCGUUUUUGGGCUUUCGGGUUCAGAGACUAAGCGAAAGUGAUAAGUUAGCCACCUGGGGAGUACGUUCGCAAGAAUG